GGGGGACUCCGCAACCAAUCGGAGCGCAGCGCAGGGAGGUGGUCCCGCCCUCUGAGCUCGGCUCCGGAGACACGAGUCGGCUGCUGUGCGGAGGAACGGGAGGACUCGAGUUGAGGUAUGACUCCGCCGACAUGAGUCGAACCUGAGUCAUCUCGUGUGUCCGGAAGGGGCCUCAGUUCUAGCAGGUGUGCUCAGGAG